UACGUAGGGUGCGAGCGUUGUCCGGAAUUAUUGGGCGUAAAGAGCUCGUAGGCGGUGUGUCACGUCGUUCGUGAAAACCUGCAGCUUAACUGUGGGCGUGCGGUCGAUACGGGCAGGCUAGAGUUCGGUAGGGGAGACUGGAAUUCCUGGUGUAGCGGUGAAAUGCGCAGAUAUCAGGAGGAACACCGGUGGCGAAGGCGGCAUUCUGGACCGAUAUUGACGCUGAGGAGCGAAAGCCAGGGGAGCGAACAGG
rnacentral:rRNA from 1 species